GCUCUUGAUUGAAGUCCCGGUAAACGGCGGCCGUAACUAUAACGGUCCUAAGGUAGCGAAAUUCCUUGUCGGGUAAGUUCCGACCUGCACGAAUGGCGUAACGAUGGCCACACUGUCUCCUCCCGAGACUCAGCGAAGUUGAAGUGUUUGUGAUGAUGCAAUCUCCCCGCGGCUAGACGGAAAGACCCCAUGAACCUUUACUGUAGCUUUGCAUUGGACUUUGAACCGAUCUGUGUAGGAUAGGUGGGAGGCUUUGAAGCGUGGACGCCAGUUCACGUGGAGCCGUCCUUGAAAUACCACCCUGGUUUGUUUGAGGUUCUAACCUUGGCCCGUGAAUCCGGGUCGGGGACAGUGCAUGGUAGGCAGUUUGACUGGGGCGGUCUCCUCCCAAAGUGUAACGGAGGAGUUCGAAGGUACGCUUGGUACGGUCGGACAUCGUACCUAAAGUGCAAUGGCA
rnacentral:rRNA from 1 species